ACCGAAGAAGAAAGCUCAAACAAGGCACGAUUUGGAGUAUUUUCACGAUAAAACCCUUUUUAUCAUUUUUAGAGACCAUCUCUGCAACUCCGUAGACACCAUCUCUCUGUCCUUCUCGCUCUAUAGAAACCCUAACUUUCUCUUUCUAAAAACCCAGAAAAAAACCGUGACUUUUUACCAGAAGCCGUCCAAGAAACCCGCACUCUUUUUCAUUCGAAAUCCGUACAAGAAACCUUCAAUUUUUCUUCUUGUAGGUCCAUUUCCAGUAACCCUAACUUGUAUCUGUAUGAAAGUCGCCGAUUCUUAUCUUCUUUCUCUCGAGAUCAACAAUGGCAGGUAUCAAAACGAUGCCGUUAAUGACUAGCAACAAUGCGAACAUCGGGGUCCCGCAGAAGACCAGAGAAGAAACCUACCAGAAGAAGAGCCAACUGGAGCACAUCCUGCUCCGACCCGAUACCCGCAUUGGAUCGAUCGAGAAGAACAUCCAAAACCUCUGGGUUACGAGGACGAGUAGAUGGUGCAUCGCCAGGUGACCUAUGUUCCGGCCUUACAAGAUCUUCGAUGAAAUCUUAGUCAAUGCCGCUGAUAACAAGCAGAGGGGAUCCCACCAUGGAUUCCGUGAGGGUGGUGAUUGAUGUGGAAACAAUUUAAUCAGUGUUUAUAAUAAUGGCGAUGGGUUUCCUGUGGAGAUUCAUAAGUAGGAGGGUGUGUAUGUACCGGAGCUGGUUUUCGGGCACUUGUUAACUAGCAGUAACUAUGAGGUCACGGUGAAGAAGACCACCGGAGGGAGAAAUGGGUAUGGAGCCAAGCUCGCAAAUAUUUUCUUCACAGAGUCUGUUAUUGAGACUGCUGAUGGGAAUCGGCAGAAGAAAUAUAAGCAGGUAAUUGAUUUUAUGUUUCUUGCAGUUCCCUUGUUAAACUAUAACUUGGGUUCAUGCUUUUAGGAUUUUUUAGAUGGCUAUUGGUGUAUGAUUCAAAACAGCUGAUUUUGAUUCCUUUGGUUUCUGCUCAAUUUUUAUAGGGUGGUGGUUGUUUGUCAUUGCAACUGCUAUUUAAAAAAUAUUAGUUAGAAGUAUAAAAAUUUAUUUAAAUUAAAAUUUGACAUUUUUCAUAGGCAGUGUUAAAUUGAAGUUUACUUUUAUGAUAUAAAUUAUAAAUUGAAGUUUAAGAAUGGUGUUAACAUAACUUUCAAAGUUCAAGGGUGGGGGGGUGAAAAUUCGCCCUUUUACUGCUACUGUUACAAGUAGGUGACAUAACAGCGCGAUUGUUGGCCAGAGGUUCUGAUCAGAUGUGCUCAGUCUUUUCUGUGCUCAAAUCAGGAGGACAGGGAAACAAUUCAAAUUUUCACUUUCCAUCCCCCAAUAAAAUAAGAUAAAUUCGGCAGAGCUUCAUCUACUUCUUGUUUGCAAAACGCUGUCGCAGAAAGAAAUGUGUGCGCGCACCGUUUGAGUUGCAGUUGCAUACGGAGGAAAAGACGAUGAGGCUGAUCAUGGGCAUGGAAAUGGUUGCGUAGAUAGUCAUUUUGGGGACUCUGGUUCUUUUUGUAUCAAUUCACUAACAGAGAUUUUUAAAUGUUAUCAUUUCUAAUAUAAUUUUUAGCUAACAUCAAUAAAAUGAAUCUUAUUUAGUGCUUUUAUGACAUAAAAUAACAAAUGAGUUUGAGUAUUGUCCAUGUGGCACCUACGUGAACAACCAAAUGGCAUCACAUCAACAUUACAUAAUAAUUUUUUUUAUUUUUAAAAAAUAAAAUAUAUAAAUACAAGGUUAAUAUAUAUAUAUAUAUAUGUACACACACAUAUGCAUACGUGUGUGCGCGAAAGAGAGAGUAACAAAUAUCAAUCUUAUUCUUUUAAGCACAUAAAUAUCACUAGUGAAAACAAUUGUGCCUUUAUUGGUUGUGUUACAUCCUCAAAAUGGUCGCUGCCGUUUGUUACGAUCCAUCGUAAGAAAAUUUGUGUCCCACCUUAAUAACUAGUCUAGUCAGAGCCGUUCACUAUAAUCAUGCGGCAUAGGUGGUGACUCCGGAAUAGCAGCCUUUGUUGAGGCUGGAUUAAGCUAGCGCAAAGCCAGCUUGCGUAGGCACGGGGCCUACGGAGUGUGGUGGAAUGUUACGAUCGUGUGGUGUAUGUAUGAACUUAGACUCUCCAACUAGCGUUGGGGGUGAGAUUUUCCUAGUAUCACCGUUGUACAAUGAACUUAUACCAGACGACUAGACGAGAAGGAAAGUUACGAGACUGAGGAGAAAGAGGAAAGUAAAGACGAAGAUGAAGAGGGAGAAGAAGGCAGUUACGUUGCCGAUUUCCAUCCUCUGGAACUGAUUGGUCCUGCUUUUUGCCGGGUCAUGGAGAUGCUAAAAAGGAAGCUCAAACAAGCCAAUCUAUUGGAAAUGUGGGGAUUAAAGGAGAUCAAACCCAAGCCCCUUGUUCACCUCCACCUCCAUCCAAGAGAUUGAAGAUUGUGUCUCAAAUUAACCCUAGAGAAUCAAUUUCCCCAAAUCAAAGAACUCCACAAUAACGCCUCCUAACAAGAAUCAGCCUUGUCUUUGCCUCUCCUCUGUUAUGUACUAUGGUGGUCUUACCAAGGGAUGGUCUCACAGUCCUAUCUAUUGCACCCAUCUAACUGCUAGUCUCCUCACGCUCUGCCUCUGUUAAUUCAUUGUAAGAAUCAUAAAUCUUGUUGUUUUUACUUUAUCUUUAUAUUCAUUCUUUGGACCUUAAUGUUGAGUAUGUUAUUGAAGGAGUUAGGAUUAACGUUAUUUGUAAGUAAUCACUGCCUAGGUGCUGUUUUGACUCUUCGUCUCACAACUAGACUUUGCUGUUUGCACAUUGGAGAUUUCAGGGCUUCUAAUAGCAUGUUUGGAAGGAAAUUUUUGGAGGUACCCUUCCAAGGAAGAUGUGUCAUGUUGUUAGAGUUACUAAGGACUUCCUCAAGAGGCAACCCGAAGCCCUUGUUGUUGUUGGGGCAUAGAGCAUUGGAAAAGAAUUUGUUUGUCUUGCCAUUUCCAAGGUCUUAGGGGUAUGUUUGUUUGCUGUUUCACUGAAGUAUUUUACCUCUUGUAGCGAAUAAAGUUGUUUAUUCCUUGAGGUAGAUGUGGAGGCUUCUUUUUCCUCUCAAUAGACCACAUGUUAUGGCAUGAAUAUUGUACCAUUAUGAUAACUGGGAGAUCAUGAAUGAUUCAUCUACUUGUUCUCUUUCUUAUAAACUAAGGUCACUUAGAUUUUCA